rnacentral:rRNA from 1 species
CCUUAUUGUUAGUUGCUACCAUUUAGUUGAGCACUCUAGCGAGACUGCCCGGGUUAACCGGGAGGAAGGUGGGGAUGACGUCAAAUCAUCAUGCCCCUUAUGUCUAGGGCUACACACGUGCUACAAUGGCUGGUACAGAGAGAUGCUAAACCGCGAGGUGGAGCCAAACUUUAAAACCAGUCUCAGUUCGGAUUGUAGGCUGAAACUCGCCUACAUGAAGCUGGAGUUGCUAGUAAUCGCGAAUCAGAAUGUCGCGGUGAAUACGUUCCCGGGCCUUGUACACACCGCCCGUAA